rnacentral:rRNA from 1 species
CCUACGGGUGGCAGCAGUGAGGAAUAUUGGUCAAUGGACGAAAGUCUGAACCAGCCAAGUAGCGUGAAGGAUGACUGCCCUAUGGGUUGUAAACUUCUUUUAUAUGGGAAUAAAAUGUACUACGUGUGGGAUUCUGUAUGUACCAUAUGAAUAAGGAUCGGCUAACUCCGUGCCAGCAGCCGCGGUAAUACGGAGGAUCCGAGCGUUAUCCGGAUUUAUUGGGUUUAAAGGGUGCGUAGGUGGAUUGUUAAGUCAGUUGUGAAAGUUUGCGGCUUAACCGGAGAAUUGCAGUUGAGACUGGCAGUCUAGAGAGUAGUAGAGGUAGGCGGAAUGUGUGGUGUAGCGGUGAAAUGCUUAGAGAUCACGCAGAACUCCGAUUGCGAAGGCAGCUCACUGAACUACAACUGACGCUGAGGCACGAAAGUGUGGGUAUCAAACAGGAUUAGAUACCCCGGUAGUC